rnacentral:rRNA from 1 species
ACAACAGUUGGAAACGACUGCUAAUACCGCAUAAGCCCACGACCCGGCAUCGGGAAGAGGGAAAAGGAGCAAUCCGCUUUGAGAUGGCCUCGCGUCCGAUUAGCUAGUUGGUGAGGUAACGGCCCACCAAGGCAACGAUCGGUAGCCGGACUGAGAGGUUGAACGGCCACAUUGGGACUGAGACACGGCCCAGACUCCUACGGGAGGCAGCAGUGGGGAAUAUUGCACAAUGGGGGAAACCCUGAUGCAGCGACGCCGCGUGGAGGAAGAAGGUCUUCGGAUUGUAAACUCCUGUUGUUGAGGAAGAUAAUGACGGUACUCAACAAGGAAGUGACGGCUAACUACGUGCCAGCAGCCGCGGUAAAACGUAGGUCACAAGCGUUGUCCGGAAUUACUGGGUGUAAAGGGAGCGCAGGCGGGAAGACAAGUUGGAAGUGAAAUCCAUGGGCUCAACCCAUGAACUGCUUUCAAAACUGUUUUUCUUGAGUAGUGCAGAGGUAGGCGGAAUUCCCGGUGUAGCGGUGGAAUGCGUAGAUAUCGGGAGGAACACCAGUGGCGAAGGCGGCCUACUGGGCACCAACUGACGCUGAGGCUCGAAAGUGUGGGUAGCAAACAGGAUUAGAUACCCUGGUAGUCCACACCGUAAACGAUGAUUACUAGGUGUUGGAGGAUUGACCCCUUCAGUGCCG